CAAAGAUUAAGCCAUGCAUGUCUAAGUACAAACCUUCCUUAGGGUGAAACCGCAAACGGCUCAUUAAAUCAGUCAUAAUUCAUUGGUUGCAGGCUAUCCUUACUCGGAUAACUGUGGCAAUUCUAGAGCUAAUACGUGCACUUGAGCUCCGACGCCGGGAGGGUUUUUUUAUAACCUUCUCGGGGGAAGGGCGCAGUUAUUAGAAUCAUAAACCGAGACGGGCUCUCGAGUCCGAAUCUACUUGGCUAUGAUGACUCUGGAUAACGUUGCCAAGCGCUUAGGCCUCAGAGCCGGCGCUGCAUCUUUCGAGUGACUGCCCUAUCAGCUUUCGAUUGUAGGAUAUAGGCCUACGAUGGCUGUUACGGGUAACGGGGAAUCAGGGUUCGAUUCCGGAGAGGGAGCCUGAGAAACGGCUACCACAUCUAAGGAAGGCAGCAGGCACGCAAAUUACCCAAUCCCAGUUCGGGGAGGUAGUGACGAUAAAUACCGAUGCGGGACUCAUCCGAGGCCUCGCAAUCGGAAUGAGUUCACUUUAAAAAAGUGGGCGAGGAUCAAUUGGAGGGCAAGUCUGGUGCCAGCAGCCGCGGUAAUUCCAGCUCCAAUAGCGUAUAUUAAAGUUGNNNNNNNNNNNNNNNNCAAAGCAGGCAACAGAUUUAUACGCCCGAAUAGUAAUGCAUUGAAUGAUGGAACAGGACCUCGGUUCUGACUUUAUAAUUUUUUUUCUCGGUUUUUCCCGAACCCGAGGUAAUGAUUAAAGGGAACGGUCGGGGGCAUUAGUAUUGCGACGCGAGGGGUGAAAUCCAGUGACCGUCGCAAGACUACCUACUGCGAAAGCAUUUGCCAAGAACGUUUCCAUUAAUCAAGAACGAAAGUUAGAGGAUCGAAGGCGAUCAGAUACCGCCCUAGUUCUAACCAUAAACGAUGCCAACUAACGAUCCGCGUACAGUCAUUCCCAAGACUGCGCGGGAAGUUCCCGGGAAACCAAAGUCUUUGGGUUCCGGGGGUAGUAUGGUUGCAAAGCUGAAACUUAAAGGAAUUGACGGAAGGGCACCACCAGGAGUGGAGCCUGCGGCUUAAUUUGACUCAACACGGGAAACCUCACCAGGCCCGGACACCGGAAGGAUUGACAGAUUGAGAGCUCUUUCUCGAUUCGGUGGUUGGUGGUGCAUGGCCGUUCUUAGUUGGUGGAGCGAUUUGUCUGGUUAAUUCCGAUAACGAACAAGACUCUGUCCUACUAACUAGUCGGAGGAUCGUUUCCCGAGACGGGUUUCCCCCCCUCCGCGCGCGUGGUCGGCUGCGGCGCUCGGUUUUUCGUAUUCGGUUCGUCCCGCGUCGGGGGCGCGCUCGGCGAAGGUUUUUCUUUCGUUCGGGUACGUCUUCGGCGCGUUAAGGGGCGGAUCGGGUCGGGCCGGGUUAGUCGUUUUCGCGCCACCGCGUAAAAGGGGGUCCCAACGAGGGGCGUCCGCCGUAUAAAAUCUUCUUAGAGGGACCGGCGGUCUCGAACCGUACGAGAAGGAGCAAUAACAGGUCUGUGAUGCCCUUAGAUGUCCUGGGCCGCACGCGUGCUACAAUGGAGGGAGCAGCGUGCUUUCCCCCUCCGAGAGGAGUGGGUAACCCCAUGAAACCCCUUCCCGAUUGGGAUUGGGGGUUGCAAUGGUUGCCCAUGAACGAGGAAUCCCUUGUAAGCGCGAGUCAUAAGCUCGCGAUGAAUACGUCCCUGCCCUUUGUACACACCGCCCGUCGCUACUACCGAUGAAUGAUUAAGUGAGAGCGUCGGACCGGCGCCCUCGGCAGCCCUCGGACCGAUUCAAAGCGUUUUCCGGUUCAAGGAUCCUUUUUAAUAAGGGUUCUCGGGAUUCGUGCGGACCGAGUUAGCGCCCCGGGCCUCGCCGGAAAGACGUCCGAACUUGAUUAUUUAGAGGAAGUAAAAGUCGUAACAAGGUAUCGGUAGGUGAACCUGCGGAAAGGAUCAA
rnacentral:rRNA from 1 species